GUGCUUGCGGCAGCUACCAUGCAAGUCGAGCGGUAACAGAUCCAGCUUGCUGGAUGCUGACGAGCGGCGGACGGGUGAGUAAUGCAUAGGAAUCUGCCCGAUAGUGGGGGAUAACCUGGGGAAACCCAGGCUAAUACCGCAUACGUCCUACGGGAGAAAGGGGGCUUCGGCUCCCGCUAUCGGAUGAGCCUAUGUCGGAUUAGCUGGUUGGUGAGGUAACGGCUCACCAAGGCCACGAUCCGUAGCUGGUCUGAGAGGAUGAUCAGCCACAUCGGGACUGAGACACGGCCCGAACUCCUACGGGAGGCAGCAGUGGGGAAUAUUGGACAAUGGGGGGAACCCUGAUCCAGCCAUGCCGCGUGUGUGAAGAAGGCCCUCGGGUUGUAAAGCACUUUCAGCGAGGAAGAACGCCUAGCGGUUAAUACCCGCUAGGAAAGACAUCACUCGCAGAAGAAGCACCGGCUAACUCCGUGCCAGCAGCCGCGGUAAUACGGAGGGUGCAAGCGUUAAUCGGAAUUACUGGGCGUAAAGCGCGCGUAGGUGGCUUGAUAAGCCGGUUGUGAAAGCCCCGGGCUCAACCUGGGAACGGCAUCCGGAACUGUCAAGCUAGAGUGCAGGAGAGGAAGGUAGAAUUCCCGGUGUAGCGGUGAAAUGCGUAGAGAUCGGGAGGAAUACCAGUGGCGAAGGCGGCCUUCUGGACUGACACUGACACUGAGGUGCGAAAGCGUGGGUAGCAAACAGGAUUAGUCCCU
rnacentral:rRNA from 1 species